rnacentral:rRNA from 1 species
GAUGAACGCUGGCGGCGUGCUUAACACAUGCAAGUCGAACGGAAAGGCCCUGCUUUUGUGGGGUGCUCGAGUGGCGAACGGGUGAGUAACACGUGAGUAACCUGCCCUUGACUUUGGGAUAACUUCAGGAAACUGGGGCUAAUACCGGAUAGGAGCUCCUGCUGCAUGGUGGGGGUUGGAAAGUUUCGGCGGUUGGGGAUGGACUCGCGGCUUAUCAGCUUGUUGGUGGGGUAGUGGCUUACCAAGGCUUUGACGGGUAGCCGGCCUGAGAGGGUGACCGGCGACAUUGGGCCUGCGAUACGCCCCAGACUCCUACGGGACGCAGCAGUGGGGAACAUUGCACAAUGGGCGGAAGCCCGAUGUAGCAACGCCGCGUGCGGGAUGAUGGCCUUCGGGUUGUAAACCGCUUUCGCCGGUGACGAAGCGUGAGUGACGGUAAUGGGUAAGGAAGCACCGGCUAACUACGUG